rnacentral:rRNA from 1 species
UACAGAGGUCUCAAGCGUUGUUCGGAAUCACUGGGCGUAAAGGGUGCGUAGGCCGCACGGUAAGUCAGGUGUGAAAGCCCGGAGCUCAACUUCGGAAUUGCACCCGAUACUGCCGUGCUUGAGGACUGGAGAGGAGUCUGGAAUUCACAGUGGAGCAGUGAAAUGCGUAGAUAUUGUGAGGAACACUAGUGGCGAAGGCGAGACUCUGGACAGUUCCUGACACUGAGAGACGAAAGCCAGGGGAGCAAACGGG